rnacentral:rRNA from 1 species
AUGGCGGCGACGAUGACGGUGGAGGAGGUGAGGAAGGCGCAGCGGGCGGAGGGGCCGGCCACGGUGCUCGCCAUCGGCACCGCGACGCCGGCCAACUGCGUGUACCAGGCCGACUACCCGGACUACUACUUCAAGAUCACCAAGAGCGACCACAUGACCGACCUCAAGGAAAAGUUCAAGAGGAUGUGUGACAAGUCCCAGAUCAGGAAGAGGUACAUGCACCUGACGGAGGAGAUCCUGCAGGACAACCCCAACAUGUGCGCCUACAUGGCGCCGUCCCUCGACGCGCGCCAGGACAUCGUCGUCGUCGAGGUCCCCAAGCUCGGCAAGGCGGCGGCACAAAAGGCGAUCAAGGAGUGGGGCCAGCCGCGGUCCAAGAUCACCCACCUUGUCUUCUGCACCACCUCCGGCGUCGACAUGCCGGGCGCCGACUACCAGCUCACCAAGAUGCUCGGCCUGCGCCCCUCCGUGAAGCGCCUCAUGAUGUACCAGCAGGGCUGCUUCGCCGGCGGCACCGUGCUUCGCCUCGCCAAGGACCUCGCCGAGAACAACCGCGGCGCGCGCGUGCUGGUGGUCUGCUCCGAGAUCACCGCGGUGACCUUCCGCGGCCCGCACGAGUCCCACCUCGACUCGCUGGUGGGUCAGGCGCUCUUCGGAGACGGUGCGGCCGCGGUGAUCGUCGGCGCAGACCCCGAUGAGUCCGUCGAGCGCCCCCUGUUCCAGCUGGUGUCCGCGAGCCAGACGAUUCUGCCGGACUCAGAGGGUGCCAUCGACGGCCACCUACGGGAGGUCGGCCUCACCUUCCACCUCCUCAAGGAUGUGCCCGGGCUCAUCUCCAAGAACAUUGAGCGCGCCCUAGAGGACGCCUUCAAGCCAUUGGGCAUCGAUGAUUGGAACUCCGUCUUUUGGAUGGCACACCCCGGCGGGCCAGCAAUCCUUGACAUGGUGGAGGCCAAGGUAAACCUGAACAAGGAACGGAUGCGCGCCACCAGGCAUGUCCUCUCCGAAUAUGGCAACAUGUCAAGCGCAUGUGUGCUCUUCAUCAUGGACGAAAUGCGCAAACGCUCCGCCGAGGAUGGCCACACCACAACCGGCGAGGGAAUGGACUGGGGCGUUCUCUUCGGCUUCGGCCCCGGUCUCACCGUGGAGACGGUCGUCCUCCAUAGCGUCCCCAUCACUGCCUAG